rnacentral:tRNA from 1 species
GGGGUAGCUCAGUGGAAGAGCAUCUGGCUUUGCAUGCAGAAGGUCCCAGUUUCCUUCCCUGGCAUCUCCA